UACAGAGGGUGCAAGCGUUGUCCGGAAUCACUGGGCGUAAAGGGCGCGUAGGCGGCCUGAUAAGUCGGGGGUGAAAUCCCUCAGCUUAACUGGGGAACUGCGUCUGAUACUGGCGAGCUUGAGUGCAGGAGAGGAACGCGGAAUUCCAGGUGUAGCGGUGAAAUGCGUAGAUAUCUGGAGGAACACCGGUGGCGAAGGCGGCGUUCUGGACUGCAACUGACACUGAAAAACGAAAGCCAGGGGAGCAAACGGG
rnacentral:rRNA from 1 species